UACGUAGGUGGCAAGCGUUGUCCGGAUUUACUGGGCGUAAAGGAUGCGUAGGCGGAUGUUUAAGUGAGAUGUGAAAUACCCGAGCUCAACUUGGGUGCUGCAUUUCAAACUGGAUAUCUAGAGUGCAGGAGAGGAAAGCGGAAUUCCUAGUGUAGCGGUGAAAUGCGUAGAGAUUAGGAAGAACACCAGUGGCGAAGGCGGCUUUCUGGACUGUAACUGACGCUGAGGCGCGAAAGCUAGGGGAGCAAACGGG
rnacentral:rRNA from 1 species